GUACUCUGCAAGCAAGCUUAGGCAUUCUACAAAAGGGUCAGUCUUGUAUGUACAACCAGUUAUUAAACUUUGAACCUACUGUACAUGUGCACUGUCAAUUCAUACAUAUUAAGAAUGAGUGAGUAAGAAUCUGGCUGGGACACAAACACGUGUCACUCCUGAGAUCCAGUUUAAAAAAACCUGAAUAAAUAUGCUAAUUGCAUUUUCCAUGAGCCCAUUCCUUAAGAUCGCCAUCAUCAUAAAUGUAAUUAGUUUAAGGCAUUGGCAUGUUGACAGCCACUGUGGAAUUUCUAUUGCAAAUCUCAAAGGUUAUAUAUAAGAUGAUUAUGCUUUCAAGCCAUCUGUGAACAAGUGCAGAAAACAUGUUUUUAAUUUUAUGUGGCAGGGGCUUUUAAGUUGAAUAAUUUCUGUGCUUUCAAAGAGGAUCAAGCUAAGGCCUUAACUUCAGGUUUUACAUCGGUUGGGAGCCACUCAGACAUGAAUAUUUAUUUGAUUGUACAUACGUUGCAGGAAAAUCAGCUUGAUUGAACUGCAAGUAGCUUAGUCAAGUAGACCUGUGAUUUCUUCAGGGGUUAAAAGUUAUCCAGAGACCAUGCAUGUGAAUAUGAAUGAACCUCUUUCACACUCCAUCAGUUUCCGUAUAGCAGUUUAGUUUAACUUUUGGUACAUGAUAGAGCAGCUCUUUCCUUUGUGUUAGUUUGCUCAUAUUAAAAGUCCCCUUUCCUUUGUUUUUUCAAUAAACUUCAGUAAAGGCUUAACAGACCAGGAGACCUGAAUUGUAAAACUAGCAAGAAGUUGCUAUACAGUGUAAAUCUGUCACAUUGUUUUAUAAUAUACAGUAGUUUUGUAGUGCUUUCGUUAACUUUGCCUGAUUCUGUAUGGAAGACACUUAUAUUGAGGUGCUCGUGAAUGAUAUGCUGCUUUGCAUUCAUUUAAAUAUUGCCCAGCCCUCCAACUUUACCAACAAUACUCAGGUAUGCAAUGACAAGAGCAGAAAAAAGAUGUCAUCAAUUUCAGCUGACAUAAAAAAUAAAAUCAUACUGUUCAUACAUUUUACUUAGUUUUUUGUCAGUCCACAAAAUAACAAACAAUUAAUGGCAUAAAUCAACUUAACCCCUACGACACCAGCUUUUUUCUAGAUUCGUUGUGCAUGUGCUAAUUCCAGUGCCUUUUUAAAGGGACAAUUUAAAAGUGUAAUGCCCCGUGCAUUGAAAAAAUAUAGUUUUACUACAUUCUUUAGAAAGAUGGUACACAAUCCUCUCAAUUAAAUCCUCAUGGAUUGCCACAGCCAAUGAUGUUGUGAGUAGAGCUGUCAUUACUUCACUAGUAGAUGUUAUCUAAAGGUAACAAAAACAGAAAAAUAUAAUAAAGCAAAGUAAAAGACUCAAGUACUGGAUAGUAAAGCAUUAUAAAAAACAAGUCAUGGUGAAGCAAGGUAAAAACACAAUAUAAGCAUGAUUAAAACAUAAUAAACUGCAACAUUAUUAUGCAAAUUGACUGUAGUAAACUUUAGUUAAGGAUGCAGCUUAUUCAUCCUGGUGUUUGUGUUUGCAGCUACAGAUCAAGCCUUUGUGACUCUUGCAACCAGUGAUGUUUACUUUCAGGGAACCCUGGUUCUUGGCCAUUCACUCCGACACCAGAGGACCUCCGGCAGCUGGUCAUUUUAACAACACCCCAGGUCUCCAGCUUCAUGAGGAUGAUCCUCAGGGGUGUGUUUUGAUGGGGUCAUUGAGGUGAAGGGGAAAUACAGCAGAGACGCCACACACUUGGCACUGAUGAAGCGUCCAAAGCUUGGGAUAACCUUCACCAAACUCCAUUGCUCUGCGUUAAUCAAGUACACCAAAUGAGUCUUUCUGGAUGCCAACACCCAGGUGCCGUGUAAUGUGGAUGAAUUGUUUGAUCGAGAAGAGAUCUUAGCAGCCCCUGAUCCUGGUUGGCCAGACUGCUUUAACACUGGGGUAUUUGUGUUCAGGCCUUCUUUGCAAACAUACAACAGAUUAUUUCAGCUUGCAGUGGAGCAUGUCAGCUUUGAUGAUAAGCCAUGAAUGACAUUUGUAACACAAAACCAUACAGUUUAAAUACAGCCAAUGGUUACUACCUUGCUUACAGCAUAACAUUCUGCAAGAAUCCCUGAAUGCAUAGUGUAACAGUGCUGCAUUAUAAUGAGAUUUUAUAUAUUAUUAUUACAAUCAAAAAGAUAAGCUAGCAUUGUCAGUACUCAGAGUAGAGUAGAGUAGUCAGCAGCUAAAUUUGUAUAUCUGCACUCCACCAGCUGUUUACUGACUACAAUACGUCAGGAACUGUGCUAAAAGAAAUACAAAGGUCAAGGCUAUCUAUUUUUUAUUUAGAAUCAUCGGGCAAUCUCAGUCUCAAUUCAAGAGUCAGCAAAAAAAGAGCAAGAGAAAUACACCUGCUUUAUACUUUAUGUUGUGGUAACCACUGGGAUAAUUGUUUAGUAAAAUAAAAGUAUGAGUCCUUGAAGAAAAAACUAUAUACAGUAAAUUAUAUAGAAAUUGUGUUUUUUAUUUAAGGAGGAUACCAGGGCCUCUUAAACUCUUUCUUCAUGUUCUGGCCAGUAAAGGAUAUUG